rnacentral:rRNA from 1 species
GACGAACGCUGGCGGCGUGCCUAAUACAUGCAAGUCGAGCGAACUUGCGGGAGCUUGCUCCCAAAAGUUAGCGGCGGACGGGUGAGUAACACGUGGGCAACCUGCCUGUAAGACUGGGAUAACUUCGGGAAACCGGAGCUAAUACCGGAUAAUUCCUUUUCUCACAUGAGGGAAGGCUGAAAGACGGUUUCGGCUGUCACUUACAGAUGGGCCCGCGGCGCAUUAGCUAGUUGGUGAGGUAAUGGCUCACCAAGGCAACGAUGCGUAGCCGACCUGAGAGGGUGAUCGGCCACACUGGGACUGAGACACGGCCCAGACUCCUACGGGAGGCAGCAGUAGGGAAUCUUCCGCAAUGGACGAAAGUCUGACGGAGCAACGCCGCGUGAGCGAAGAAGGCCUUCGGGUCGUAAAGCUCUGUUGUUAGGGAAGAACAAGUACCGGAGUAACUGCCGGUACCUUGACGGUACCUAACCAGAAAGCCACGGCUAACUACGUGCCAGCAGCC